GGGUUAAGUCCCGCAACGAGCGCAACCCUUGCCUUUAGUUGCCAGCAGUUCGGCUGGGCACUCUAAAGGGACUGCCGGUGUUAAACCGGAGGAAGGUGGGGAUGACGUCAAGUCCUCAUGGCCUUUAUGACCAGGGCUACACACGUACUACAAUGGCCGAUACAAAGGGCAGCGACAUCGCGAGGUGAAGCCAAUCCCAUAAAAUCGGUCUCAGUCCGGAUUGGAGUCUGCAACUCGACUCCAUGAAGUUGGAAUCGCUAGUAAUCGUGGAUCAGCAUGCCACGGUGAAUACGUUCCCGGGGCCUU
rnacentral:rRNA from 1 species